rnacentral:rRNA from 1 species
UACGUAGGUUGCAAGCGUUAUCCGGAUUUAUUGGGCGUAAAGGGAACGCAGGCGGUCUUUUAAGUCUGAUGUGAAAGCCUUCGGCUUAACCGGAGUAGUGCAUUGGAAACUGGGAGACUUGAGUGCAGAAGAGGAGAGUGGAACUCCAUGUGUAGCGGUGAAAUGCGUAGAUAUAUGGAAGAACACCAGUGGCGAAAGCGGCUCUCUGGUCUGUAACUGACGCUGAGGUUCGAAAGCGUGGGUAGCAAACAGG